AGAUGAUUGUAUAAGUACUGCAGUUCUGUAAAGUUUAAGUUGCAGUGUAUAUAAUGCAAAGCUAACCAUGUAGGUGACCUGUUAGCUAAGCGAGGUUUAUGGUCCUUAAUUGCAACAAAACCACACUGCCAUAUAAAUUUUGUUUGUAUUGACUGUAGUGUGUGGAAAAAGAAUAUUUUCUUUUCUACCUUAAUUGCAGGUGACUCUGAAAGAGGAGUUGUGGAAAACAUCUUUAUCCAGCCAGGUCGAUAUAUUUUUUUCUAUCAGUUAAUCGCGAAGGCUCCUGUCCAUAAAUUUAUGCAUUAGUUACCCUCCUGAUCACCAUUCACCAAGCUGCACAUCUGACAUUACACUCACAAUAUUUCUUUAUAUGAAUCCUGGUACAUGAGGUCCACCUCAUCCACCCACUUAUGGGUUUAGUGACAGAAAAGGUUAUAAAUAGAUUUGCUACCAUUAAUUGCACGCAAACAAAUGCACAAUCAAGGGCACCUCAGGAUCGUCAGUAAAUGCAUACUAAUCAGAUUUUUUUUUUUCUUUCUUUCUUUCUUAUGGUAGAUGUGUUCGACAAUAUAUUUAUUUGGGAUAUCUGAAACUGAAGCUCUUCUAUCUAAAUGGUUAUGGAGGUACGGGAGAGAGCAUGAGGCCCUUUGGCGAAGGGUAAUUGAUGCCAAAUAUGGGAAGUGUGACAAUGGUGGGAUGCCCUCAAAGGUGACAUGUCCAUAUGGGUGUAGUUUAUGGAGAGGGAUUCAAGCGAGCCAAGAGGAAUUCAUAGAAGGUAUAACAAAAUUAGCCAAAAGGGGUGACAAGAUUCGCUUUUGGCAUAACAUAUGGUUGGGGGAAAUUUCUUUCUUUAGGAGAUUUCCUAGGAUUUAUAGGUUUGCCGCAAUGAAGGAGGGGACGGUCUUGGGGCACAAAAGAGAUGAAGGGGGAUGGAAUCUUCACUUAAGGAGGACUAUGUUCCGAGAAGGUGAACAAUCUCAACUUGACCACCUCACGGCGUUACUUGAAAACGUGGACUUAGUGGAUGAAGAAGAUGAAUGGGAAUGGAAGUGGAAGAAAAGUAAGACUUUCACCAUCAAAUCAUGUUACAAGUACUUGGUUUCUCGGGCUAUUCCUAGAGGUGUGGAGACUAUGAAUUUCCCUUACAAGUUUACUUGGGAGCCACCUAUCCCAACGAAUGUUAAAUUUUUCGUUUGGAGUCUUCAUUGGAAGAAAAUCCUCACUAUUGAUAAGUUACAAAGUAGAGGAUUCUUGCUGGCGAAUAGGUGUGUCCUAUGUAAAAGGGAGGAAGAGUCUAUGGAGCACUUGUUGUUCAAAUGCGCUUAUGCUCAACAAGUAUGGAUGGACUUGAUUGAUAUGUGUGGAGCAGCUAGAAGCUGUUGUACUAGCUGAAAAUCUCUGAAACAGUGUUUGGAUCAAUGGCCAUCAUUGAAUGGAGGUGUACUAGCAGGGAAGAUAUGGAACCUGAUACCAUAUGCAGUGGUCUAGUGCCUCUGGACAGGGAGAAAUGAAGCAAUCUUCAGGGAGUGUUCAACAACAACAACGAAACUUGUCUUAAGAAUCAAAGCUGUUGUCUGGACUUGGCUGCACAUGGACAAGAGAGCUAUGGAAUGGAGGGAGAGAACUUCAUUUUCUGAACUGGUUGUGAACUGGCAAUUUUUCAUGGCUGAAGGGGUAUGACUCACUCAGAUGCAAAAUCAGUUCCCCAAGCUUAGAACGGAACAUGGUAUCACCCAGGCCAGUGGGGACAGGGGGCCUUUGGCUCAGGCAGAAACUGCAGGUGUCUUCAUGACUGUACAGGCGAAGCUGAAACAAUUGUUAUGCAGGGCUGGGCAAUAGCAAUUGGAAGGGGAUUGCGAACAGUGCAAGGUUGUUGCAAUCUGUUCGUAAGCUACAGAGGAGGCAGUUUUGUUGGGUAAUGUUUGCGAGGAAGGGCUGGAAAAUGCUGGAGCUUGCGCAACAGUUUCUGUAAGGCGUAUUUCCUUCUUAUCUUCAUUUCUGUACUUGCGAAUUUUCUGUUUGUAAUGUGCUCAACAGUAGUGAUUAUGUUUGUGUAAAAGCGGAUAUGUCCUCUUGGAAAAAACUGACGAUGCACGAAGGUGUAGGCUGAUCAGAUUUGUAAGGUGUUGUUUGCGUUUUAGUAAAAUUAUAAACUUUUAUCAAAAAAAAAAAAAACUGAACAUUUUUGUACUGACAUAUCUUCAUUUUCUUUCUGUGUAUAAUUUUCAAGCCACAACUUGGCAACUUAAACGAACAAAUGUCGUGACUGCAGGACAUGAAAAUCUCUGCUUAAAGUCAUCAACUUUGUACUCCCUGUCUUCAUCAAAGAAGGUUUGUCUCUGACUUUCUGUCAUGCUGCUUGGUGGUGUUCUGUCAAAAUAAUGAACUCUGCUUAUUUUUCCUAUUUCGUAGUAGAUAUCUUAAACUAAAAUGAAGUCUUACUCUUUUAAUUUUGAAUUUAAGUAUCCUCCAAAACUUCUUGAGAUUGUUGUACCAGAAGAACUUUUCGUGAACAUUGCUCUGUCACUGAGGCAUGACAUUUGAUCAGGCCUUUACAACCUUCAGAGAAGGGGCUUCUGGGAAGGACUUUAUGAAGUUCCUCAAGGUACCAUAUAUUAAAGAGUUGGGUCUUGAUUGUUUUGGUCCUUGGACAAUGAUCACGAAAAGCCAUUCAUGUUUGUGCAGUUGAUCGCAAUUAUGUGGGUACUCUCUGUUGUUGGUAGUCAGUUUUAACUUCCUGACAUUUUUUUACAUAGGUCAGUGCCAGAGUUUCCUCUAUUGUGUUUUCUGAUUUCAUACGAACAGUUGUUCAUUACUUCAUUUUAAUGCAGUAUAACAUUGAUUUGUUUUACACUAGCAAUGCAUGCAUUAUAUCAUUUCUUUGACCAAAUGACGUUACUUAGGUUUAUUUUCUACAGUAGUUAAAGAUGCUAUAUUAUUUUUGAAUCUAUUUACGAAGUAAUAAUGUUAGUAGAAGUCUCUAUCUUUAGGAGUAUUAUUGUAUGGUUCUUAUCCCCAAAGCUUAUAGUGUGAAUGUGUUUUUAAGGCAAGCACUUUGUUAAGAUACCAAGGGAACCUUAUUUUAAUAUGAUGAAUAUUUUUUUGGGUUAACUCCUUUUGUUUAUACUUUGUUCUCUGUUCGUUCUUCUUGCAUUCUUAACCAAAAACCUCUGAGAAGGUGCUCUUCUUUAAAUUUUAACAAAGAAAAUCUCACUUUUUCGAAUCUUCACUAAUUAUAUGGUUUUGUUUCUUCCCAGGGAGAAAAAGAUCCGACAUUUUUGCUCCCUCGAUUGCCAAUAGAUGAUUUUGAAAUUCUUGC
rnacentral:lncRNA from 1 species